GGGGCUCCCCCUCAUGGCUCGCCGCGCCCCUGCUCGCUCUCGGCUUGUGUCAAACGGCGGGACAAUGCUCCAGCUCUCUGGGGAGCCCCCCGGGGGCCUGAGGGGCACAGGGCACUUCCCAAGGCUUAGCCCGUCCGCUAUACUGGGGGGACGGGGGGAGCGUGUGGCAGACUGAAACCCAACCGAACAGUCAGGUGGGAGCGGAGGGGGAGGGGCUCCUGGUGCGCGAAGGGAGAAACCCCGGCAGGGACGCCCCCAGCUGGUUCCGAGCCGGCCGCCGGGCAUCCCUGGGCUGCAAGGGCAUGUCUGCCCCGUCACUUCACGUGCUUUAGAAACAAAGAAUUCAUGAGUCCCAUUGGAGCUGCUGGGUACUUAAAACAGAGGCAUAGAGAAACCAGGUGAGGACGGUCCAGCUACCUGCACCAGGCAGACUGAAAUGAAGAGGCAAGGAGGAGGCACUGACAAAUCGUGUAUCCCAAACAGCUAAAGGAAGACCUUGGCACUCUUGGUGCUUCUGCCUAUGACAGAAUCCAUCUGCAGCAACUACAAUGCUUUGGCAGAUACUUGGGCAAGGCUGCCCUGUGCAUAUGUUUACUAAAACCCUAAAGCACUUCCACUGUAAUCUCUGGACCCUAGUUCAGUCUCCCUUAUAGUCUAAGGUACCAAUCUAAUAAUAUAUUCUGUAUAUUUAUACA